GACGAACGCUGGCGGCGUGCUUAACACAUGCAAGUCGAACGGAAAGGCCCUGCUUUUGCGGGGUGCUCGAGUGGCGAACGGGUGAGUAACACGCGAGUAACCUGUCCUUGACUUUGUGAUAACUUCUGGAAACUGGGGCUAAUACCGGAUAGGAGCUCCUGCUGCACGGGGGGGGUUGGAAAGUUUCGGCGGUUGGGGAUGGACUCGCGGGUUAUCAGCUUGUUUGGGGGGUAGUUGCUGACCAAGGCUUUGACGGGUAGCCUGCCUGAGAGGGGGACCGGCGACAUUGGGCCUGCGAUAGGGAGCAGUCGCCUACGGGAGGCAACGGUGGAGAAUAUUGCGCAAUGAGCGGAAGCCUGAUGCGGCAACGCCGCGUGCGGAAUGACGGCCUUCGGGUUAUAAACCACUUUCGCCUGUGACGAAGCGUGAGUGACGGUAAUGGGUAAAGAAGCACCGGCUAACUACGUG
rnacentral:rRNA from 1 species